rnacentral:lncRNA from 1 species
AUUGAAGUGAGUCAGCCUUAUAGUCAGAAAGUCUUUGAAGCUAGUCUUCAAACUCUGGGAAUGUGCACACAGCCUUCUCCUUACUUGGGAAUUCAAGUGCAAAUGACAUGAAAACAGUUACAGAAAGUAAGGCAAAACCAAAUCAAACACUAUCAUACAAGGACACCAUCUAACAUCCAAAAUAUAUCAAAAGCAGCAAGCAAGAUAUGCUGUGUUGUACGUCAGUAUCCCUGAGCUGCAUGGAGAG